rnacentral:rRNA from 1 species
UACAGAGGUCUCAAGCGUUGUUCGGAUUCAUUGGGCGUAAAGGGUGUGUAGGUGGCGCGCUAAGUCGGGUGUGAAAUUUCGGAGCUUAACUCCGAAACUGCAUUCGAUACUGGCGUGCUUGAGGACUGGAGAGGAGACUGGAAUUCAUGGUGUAGCAGUGAAAUGCGUAGAGAUCAUGAGGAAGACCAGUGGCGAAGGCGGGUCUCUGGGCAUUAACUGACGCUGAGGAGCGAAAGCAUGGGGAGCGAACAGG